rnacentral:rRNA from 1 species
UACGGAGGGAGCUAGCGUUGUUCGGAAUUACUGGGCGUAAAGCGUACGUAGGCGGCUUUGUAAGUUAGAGGUGAAAGCCCGGAGCUCAACUUCGGAAUUGCCUUUAAGACUGCAUCGCUAGAAUCGUGGAGAGGUGAGUGGAAUUCCGAGUGUAGAGGUGAAAUUCGUAGAUAUUCGGAAGAACACCAGUGGCGAAGGCGACUCACUGGACACGUAUUGACGCUGAGGUGCGAAAGCGUGGGGAGCAAACAGG